CUAAAAUAUAAAAACGAUGACACAAAAUAUAAAAAUGAAAUCUGGAAGGAUCUAGAAGGAUUUUUAAGUAAUCAUAUUUACAGUUAUGGAAAACAUUUAAAUCUCUAAACUGUUGUUUGGGGGGUUGUGGUUUUUUAUUUUGCUUUUUUUUGAUUUGGGUUUUUUGUGUGUGUGUCAUAGAGAACAGAGCCAUUCCACAUGUGCAUCACUGUGUGACAGACACAGUAAGAAUAAUUCUUGAUGAUGCAUGUUUUACCUGCUUAGACAGUUAAAAUGUUAUUUUACUGUUUAUACUAAAGCACGGGUAAAUGUUGCACUAAGUUUGGAUCUCACUGUACUGGGUGCUACAGAAUAAGCAACCCUACCUGAGUCAAACAGUUUAUAGAUGAAGGUCCUGAGCCCAAUUUCUGUCAUGUCAGUGCCCUUGCUACACCUUUCAAGUCAAAGACCUUCAGAAGAUAGCAUAGCAGGUAGGUACAAUGAAAGCAAUCCAAGUAAGAAGUUAAUUACCAAUUACAGCUGCGUGUUCUGUACAGAUUAUUCGUGGUGAGUUAAUAACUGCUGCCCUGGCAAUCCAAACUGAUAUUGCCCUGGCUGUUGAUUUUCUAAAGCAUAUUUGUCCAUUUCAGAAUUGUGAGCAUGUAUAUGUAUACAUAAUGUAGAAUGAUGUACAUGCGUGCAGUAUUCCAAAUUUGUAUCAUCAUGUCAGAACAUGUAGAAAAAAAUGUCUAACUAUAUGGCCAUAUUCUACUGUUGGUGUGCCAGAGAAAAAGAAAUGUGCUCAAUUUCAUAUGAGUAAGUACAAAAGAACAGCAUGGGCUAGUCAAUCAGCAAGACAACAGAUUAAUCAGAAGUUAAUAAUAGUGAAAAAUGCUAACAAUAAAAGAAGCCCUUCUUCAACUUUAUAUUUUUUUUAUAACAAUCCUAUGCUAAUUGAAAAGAUGAAAACAGGCAAAGGAGAAAAAAGAAAUUUGUAGAUGAUAGUAAUUUAUGACCGUGUACUAAGAAUAGACAUACUCAUUAACACUGUGCAUGAGAAAAUCAGAUUACAUUACUGGAAAUCACAUUCAAUACUUUUUGCACAAGAGAAAAGAAUCUAGCAAGAGGUAAGUAAGGACUGUAAUUUAAAAACAGAAGAUUAUAUUCUUAUAUGCAUUCUUUUAAAUCCAUGAUAGAAGCUCAUAUAAAAAUGCAUUAGUUUGGAAUCUGAACAAAGCAUCAACAGGGGGACUGUUAAUAAUAAGCAUCAAUCUCUUGUUGAAAGGAACAUAGCAAUAUAAUAAUACUGAAAACAAUGGCAGAUGACAGAAGGCCAGAUAUCAAAUAAUAAGAUGUCAGAGCCCUGGAAAGCCUAAGUGCUUAAUCAUGAUUCUGUAGAACUCCAGGAGAGGUUUGCUAUUUUUUGCAAAGAAUGCAGGAUUCAAUCAUGGCUAUGCUUGAUUUAACAGGUUCUAAUGGACAAUAUUCUGAAUGUAAGGUAGAGUGAGAAAGCUAAGAAGUGGGCGAGGAAGCUAAUAAGGUUGAUAUACAUGCUAAUCAGAAGUAAAAUAUGAAUUUAUCAGGAAUACAUUUCCUCUCCAAUUUAUCCUGGCACAAUCCUCGUUGAGACAGUGACACUGUCUCACUCAACCAGUUCAACGAAAUGUUCAUAUGUUUGAGCAGGUGCAUAUGAGACAUGCAAAGAAACUUGGAAAUGACUGAAGAACUGGAAAUUUUUUCCCUGUGCUCAGAAAUAUUUAGCGAUCACUCCAUAUACUUGUCAAAAAGGUAGCUCAGGAGUGGCUUGAUGACAUGGAGUACAUGCUUCAGAAAACCUUGCACCUUUUCUGUCACCUGCAAGAAAUGUAUUGCUUCAUUAUUCAGAAUGAAAAGCCCUUUGGAGAUGAUGAAGACAUCGGAUUUUAUAUACUGGUGGACUGUUCUCUGCUGAGGGCCACAUACGCAGAACAAUGUAUAAAUGCAUCAGGGGCUAAAAAAUGAAGAGAUGAGCUGUUGCAGUCUCCAGGGCAGUUCAAAAAUCAUAGUUAAAAGCACAUAAGAACAACCUAACCUUGAACUUGGAAACGUCACUGUCCUAAGUGUAAACUAGCUACGGAGGAUAACAUGGAGAGAGAGAGGAUUUAUGCCACAGCAGGGAAUAUGUGGGCCAAUGACAGGGAUACAUCAUCUCUCCCAAAUCCUGGUUGUACCCAACUUGUCAGUACCAGUUACAGCUACUGUGCAUAUAGCAUUCAUGCUUUUCUGUUAAAUCAAGCAGAUCUUCUGUUGUGAUCUAAUGAAUUCACUUUCCAUAAUUAAAAUUAUUAAAAAGUCUUUGUUGAUGGUAUCUGACAUAAAUAAGAACACUGAAAGGCAUUUUCUGCAGGAGAACCCUCACCAAUAUUUGCCUGCAUUCUGCUGGCUCCCUGUGGUUUUAGUAAUACUAACAAAAUAGAACCUUAAUUUUAGAGGUUGGUCAGCUGUAGCAAAUAAACGUCAAAAGCAAUGAAAUGAGCUUACCGAAAACACACAAGAUUUCCUUUUGAAAAACUUAGGGAAACAUAAAAAGAUCAGAAACUUCUUGCCUCAAACAUGUAUCCAGAAUCAUCGAGUUCUUACUGAUGUUUUGAUACCAGAAUAGUAGCAAUAUAUUCUUCAGAUUUUCUUCACAACAGGAAGAGUGCAGUUAUUUGAGGCAGUUAAGGAAAAUCACAGAUCACACCAGCACUCCAAGCACUACUGCUGAACAAGAUAGCAGAUUGCAAUAUUGCUUCUUUCCUUGCUUCUUGCAGCACUGCACAUAAAUAGUCUGCAGAACAAAUGUUUCGCUUCAGAGUGGAAUUUUCUCCAUUCAUCAUCUGAUUAUUUUAUAAUUUUAUUAAUUAUAGUUCAUCUCAAUUCAGUGCCUCAUUAGAAGAACAGACAAUUUGGUGUUAUUGACAAAUGGUUGUGUGACACAUAUGGAUAAUCAAUUAUAGUAAUAUCCCAUGAAAUGACAGUGAAGCUAAAUGGAUUGAAAAUACCACCCUUCAUGGGCUUCCAACCUUCCAAAUGGGUUGACAUUUUGAAUGUCAACCAUGAAAGACAACCCAGCAGUAAGCAAUCUGUGAGUCAGACAGGUGUGUGGCACUCGCUUUUAACUUUCUGUGUAUAAAACAAUCCCCAGGUGAUUCUAUCUACACUGCUGUUGGAUGACAUCCCAUAAAUGACAGACUGUAGUGCCUAACAGGAACUUCCCACCUCAAGGAUUUAGCUAGCAAACCCCAGAAACAUAUCUGUAUUAUUCUGUAUCCCUUUUAUUAAUUUAUUUCCUAGUAAUUAAGAUAUUGAUUAAUUACUAUACAUAAUUACUCACAUUAGUAACCUAAUAAAAUAUUAGAUACAAAAUAAUCAUCCAUUUUCUUUAAAAAAGAGUACAUUGUUGUACAUUGUAUGUAACAACACUUGUUCUGAAUUUGCAAUUGAAGGAGCUACUCUAGUACGUGAUUUAUUAUCUCGUGGCCCACAUAGCUCACUCUGUGUCAUGGCAGGGGAUGAUUUAUUUACACGGUAUGAUAUAGAUCUACUUUGCAAAUACUUGCCAAACUAAACAAUAGUAAUAUUAGAAGGGGGAA